CCUGCUCAAUGAAAAUUUAAAUAGCCGCAGAUUUCUGUGCUAAGGUAGCAUAAUCAUUAGUCUUUUAAUUAAAGAAUAGAAUAAAAGGAAAUUCGAAUUAUAAAUUUUUUUAAAAUUAUUUUACAAAUUUAAAUUAAAUGUAAAAAUUCAUUUAAACAAUAAAAAGACGACAAGACCCUGAUGAAUUUUACUUACAAGUUUUACUGGGGUGGUAUACAAAAUAAAAACUUAUAAUUAAUAAUUUAAUAAAAAACUAUUUUAUAAUAAAUAAUUAAAUUACCACAGGGAUAACAGCAUAAUUUAAUUUUUUAGAUCUUAUUUAAAAUUUAUAUUGUGACCUCGAUGUUGAAUUAUUAUUUCUUCUAAAUGAAAACAUUUUGUAAAGAAAGUCUGUUCGACUUUUAAAAUAUUACAU
rnacentral:rRNA from 1 species